rnacentral:rRNA from 1 species
AUUGAACGCUGGCGGCAGGCCUAACACAUGCAAGUCGAACGAGUGGCGGACGGGUUGGUAAUGUCUGGGAAACUGCCCGAUGGAGGGGGAUAACUACUGGAAACGGUAGCUAAUACCGCAUACCAUCGGAUAGGCCCGGAUGGGUUUAGCUAUUAGGUGGGGUAACGGCUCACCAGGGCGACGCACCCUUGCUGGUCUGAGAGGAUGACCAGCCACACUGGAACUGAGACACGGUCCAGACUCCUACGGGAGGCAGCAGUGGGGAAUAUUGCACAAUGGGCGCAAGCCUGAUGCAGCCAGGCCGCGUGUAUGAAGAAGGCCUUCGGGUUGUAAAGUACUUUAAGCGAGGAGGCGUUACUCGCAGAAGAAGCCCCGGCUAACUCCGUGCCAGCAGCCGCGGUAAUUC